AGGCUGGAGACACCUGAAAAAUAAAAAGACAAAAGACGUUUGGGGAUUUGAGUUCAUUAAGAAAACAGAAUUCUUCUACUUGACUGAAAUAUUCUUAUUUCCUGCAUGAUUGCUCUUGAAAACUGUGAAUGAUCAAUAGACAGCAUGCAUUUGAAAACUGGAUUAAUAUUUUUGAUCAUUUGCCUUGCUCUCCAAGUUCAGGGAAGCAGAGAAAUUCCUAAUAAAAUAAACCAUGCUGAAGCCAAACAUCUUGCAGACGCCUCAGGGUCAGACAAAACAGAAAGAACAACAAAGAGAUCCAGAGUAUCAACCAUAAGGCGGAUAUUCGACAUGGCAAAGCACCGAACAAAGAGGUCAUCCUUUUUCUCAACUGGUGUGAAAGUUUGCCCACAAGAAUCUGUGAAGCAGAUUUUAGCCAGUCACCAAGCUUACUAUAGAUUAAGAGUCUGCCAGGAAGCUGUGUGGGAAGCCUUUCGUAUUUUUCUGGAUCGGAUUCCUGAUGCUUCUGAAUAUCAGAACUGGGUUACUGCCUGCCAGAGGGAAACCUUUUGCAUAUUCGACAUUGGCAAAAACUUCAGCAAUUCCCAAGAGCAUCUGGAAAUAAUCCAACGGCGAGUAAAACAUAGAACCUUCCAGGAAAGGAAAGAUGAAAUAUCCGCAGAGAAAAUAGGAGGCAAAAAGGUGGAAGAAAUUCCUUCCAUUUCUACAGGCUCCCCUGGCACACCCCUCUCUCCAUAUGCACCUAAUGGCACGCUGCUCAAUGAAAUCGUUAACGACACGAAGACUCCUGUGAAGGAGCUGGGAACAAAUGCAGUCCCUGAACUCCCGGUGGAGCAAAUGGUAGAAUUCAGUGUAACUCUCACUGAUCAGGAGUACACAGCUGAACUUAGUGAUCCCAACUCCCCAGAGUACCAACAACUAGCUGCCAAAUUUCAGCUACAGAUGAAAAAAAUAUUUGAGAAACUUCCAGGAUUCAAAGAAAUCCGCGUAUUAGGAUUUAAACAGAAGAAGGAGAAAGAUGGAUCAAGCAGCACUAUAGCACGGUAUGUGGUGAACUUUGAGAGAGAUGGCUCAGAAAUCAGAAGCACAGCAGAUGACAUCUCAACUAUUGGAUCUAAUAAGGUUGAAAGUGAAAAAAUUCCAAUUUCUCCAAUGGAAGAGAGGGAGAUAUCAGGAACUAAACUCACAGUAACAGACCUUCAGCAACUGGUUGCCAUUGCACUCCAUGAAGACCAGUCCCUGCCAAUGGACCUCGGGACACUUCAGUUUACUGAUGAAUCUAUUAUAGCACCUAGUGAUUUUGAUAAUGAUAUCCAAGGCAUGGUCACUAUUCCUCUGGCAGGCCCUGAUUUGGAGGAAUCUAUGAGUGUGGAACUCCCACUAGGUUACCCCAGCCCAGCAACAGUGGACCAAAUAGGAGACACCUUGGUUGAUGAAUUUACAACUGGAAGCCCUGCUGUAAGUGAAGAAGAGAUCAGCAUCCCUGAAGAAUUUAAUAAUUUUAUUACGUCUGAACCUGAGUUCCCUACCAAACCCUCCAGAGAACCAUUUCAGGACAGAUCUCCACACAAAGUUACUGACCACCAAAGUUUCACAGUGCCUUUCAGUGCUCUGGGGAGCACUAGCAGUCCUCCAAAAUCAGAGGUUUAUCUGCCUCCUCCAGCAGAUGAUUCUGCUAGCAGUGACUUAAUCACCGAUGGUUAUGAGUCUCCAGUGGAGCAGGCUACCACAAUGGCAAUUUAUACCACAGGUAGCUUUACCCCACCUAGUCUGCAAGCCAGAGAUGAGGAUAGUGAACAUGAGGAGAAGACAGAACUGACUGAUAUAACAGAACCACCUUUCAAGGAAGCUGACCAAGACAUUCCACCUGAACAAGCAGUUAAGAUCAUGGAAGAACCAGAAUCAUCAGGCGAUGAUGUUUUUGUUACAGUCAGCACUUAUGAAACGUUGCCUUUCUUUAUUGGUUCAAGUGAUCUCUCUACCAUGCAGCCUGAAGGUGUUAUUACAGAUGUGCUUUCAUCAGACCAAAUAGCACCACUGCCUGCAGCAACCAGCCCAUCCUACAGCCUCUCUGAGAUCAUCGAACAGUCCCUCGAAUUACCAGAUUCCUCAGCGCCUACCCCUGAGAGCGCUCCUCCCGAUGGCACAGGAAUGGGAGUGCAGGAUAUCGCUGCUGAGUUGGAUCACAUCGGUGGGCUGAGCACAGCAGCUCUGGAUGAAGGGGAGCACGGCAGCGGUUAUAUCCCAGUGCUGACAACUAAGCCUGCAGAAACCACCCCAGCUCCUACGCUGAAGUAUGUAACUACCAGCUCCAUGACAACUGCAGGCAAAGGCAAAGAGCUAGUGGUUUUCUUCAGCCUGAGGGUAACCAACAUGCACUUUUCUGAUGACCUCUUCAAUAGGAGUUCGACAGAAUACAAAGCACUAGAACAACAGUUCAUGCAAUUGCUACUUCCAUACCUUCAGUCCAACCUUACAGGUUUUAAGCACUUGGAAAUACUUAACUUCAGGAAUGGAAGUGUGAUUGUGAACAGCAAAAUGAAAUUUGCCAGGACAGUGCCAUACAAUAUCACAGAAGCAGUACACUGUGUUUUGGAAGACUUCUGUGAUGCUGCAGCCCAACACCUCAAUUUGGAGAUUGACAGCUAUUCCUUGGAUAUUGAGCCAGCUGAUCAGGCAGACCCAUGCAAAUUCAUGGCAUGUGACAAGUUUUCUGAAUGCAUAAUGAACGAGUGGACAAAGGAAGCUGACUGCCUUUGUAAACCUGGUUAUGCCAGCCAAGAUGGAUUGCCCUGCCGGAGCCUGUGCGAGCUGGAACCGCAUCUUUGUGUCAAUGGUGGGAAAUGUGAGCUAGUUCCAGGAAGAGGAGCUGUCUGCAGAUGCCCUGUACGUAGACACCAGCUUUACCAAGGACAGCGCUGUGCCAAAUUUGCUCCAGAACCCACACAACCCUUCAUUUUUACACCUCUCAUUCUUGGCUUACUAAGCCUUGCUUUUCUUUUCAUCAUUUUAAUUAUUAAGUUAAGAAGAAAAUGCAAAAGAAACUCUAAUUUGCAAAGGCCUACUCUCAGCAGCUGCAAUUCAGAAAAUGCUGUAAGGAUUAAUCCUGCUUUUGAACACGAUGAACCCAUAUCUAGCUUUUGUCACAUGGCUUGCAGUGUAAGUGCUUGUCUCGGUUCCUCAGAGAUCACUGACCACGAAGCAUUACACGAACUUGAAAACACAAUUCAGCCUGGAGGUCACCAGGCCAGUUUACAAAGCCAAGAUUGACAAGUUAGUCCUUGAAAUUCUUCGUUUCCAGCAUCAGCCAGACAAAACCAAGGUAUUCAAAAAAGAUCUGCAUUAUUUAAGGUGGGACUUCAGGAUGGUUAUGCACAUGAAAAAAAUUCAAGGAUUCCUAAAGAUAUAAUGUUUUGGCUCUAAAAUCAGGACACAUUAAAAAAAUUGUUUUACUGAAGAAAAGCAACAUGACCAAGUUGAUAUAGAUAUUAUACAGCGUCUAAAAUUUACCUGGUAGGAAGUCAUAAUUGUUAAGAUGCAUGCAUUAAGCAUCCAGUGCUUACAGGUCUUAACUGUUUUAUUUAAGAACUGAGUGCUAGAAACAGAUUUUGCUGAGACGUGACAUUUUUCAAUAUUUGUCAAUGGAACUUCACCAUAUUUCCAUAUCCUUUUAUUAACCUUCCUUACACACACUAAUGUAAGUGGUGAACAGAAAUACGAACUGUCAUUGACCAAAGGACACAUUAAAACCAUCCGGGAACUUCUUCAUUCUCUCCCUACAAUGCUCACAUUGCAAAUCACACGCAAGUUGGAAUUAAUUUUUUUAAGGGCUUCUAUGAACAUUGUUUAUACAUAUGUACAUAUACACUUAACUGCUUAAUUUCUGGUGACAGUGAAACUAUCAGGUUAUCCUAAGACUUCAAACUUUUUGCUGAGGCACAAUACCUGGAGUUUCAUCUUUUCAGAACAAGAUAUUUACAUUCACAAGCAACCUCCUGGUAAAAAGUAGAUUAGAAUUCCACAUGAUUGUGUACACUUUAAACUCAGUUUGCACACAAAUAAUUUUGAGAGGUUACUGUUAGUUUUUGUAGAACAAAUCUAAGCAGACAUCAGGCAGCCUUUAAGUAUUUUGUAGGCUUAUUAAUUUAUGCACUAUGAAUCCACAAUCCUGAUUCAAGUAUGAGCAUUAUUUUACCUUGAGCAUCUUUUUCUUGAGUAUAUCUAUAUUUAUAUCGUGCACCAGUGUUGUACAAUAUUCGGGCACUGUUUGCUGCUUGGUGCACACCAGAAGUCGUACUUACAGCUCAAACUGAGCUUUGACAAAGUUCAUGACUAUUCUGGAUGACAGGUCCUCGUUCAGAGGUGAAACUUUUGUGUAUUUGGGACAGCAGCUGAUUUCAGCAACAAUUCUUCUCUCUUCGUACCGUGCAGUUACCACAGCAAAGACUGAACUUUAUUUUACCUUAUUACGUACACUCAGAAGAACUGUUUACGAAUUCCAAACAACUAACUGCACGUAUUUGCCUGCAAAA